rnacentral:rRNA from 1 species
UACAGAGGUGGCAAGCGUUGUUCGGAAUUACUGGGCGUAAAGGGCGCGUAGGCGGCCUCCUAAGUCGGACGUGAAAGCCCCGGGCUCAACCUGGGAACCGCGCUUGAGACUGGCAUGCUCGAGUUCGGGAGAGGAUGGUGGAAUUCCCAGUGUAGAGGUGAAAUUCGUAGAUAUUGGGAAGAACACCGAUGGCGAAGGCAGCCAUCUGGACCGACACUGACGCUGAGGCGCGAAAGCGUGGGGAGCAAACAGG